GCCAGGAUGGCGUAGUGGUUUGAGUAUUGAUCUAUGACUCUGGAAACUAGGGUUCAAUUCCCUGCUCGGCCA